rnacentral:lncRNA from 1 species
GUACAACCAUGAUAAGGAAUCCCAAUUAUGGGCAAUACACGAGUUUAUUAGGAUAUGGAGAAACUUGGAAAAAAUCAGAGAUCACCCUAAAUAAGAAUACUUGAUGAAGGAGGAUCCAUAAAGCCGACUCAAAAUAGUUGUAAAAAGGCUUGAUGAUUAUGAUAAGUAUGACAUGAGCUUACCAAGUUAUACAAUAACCAAAGCUACAGGAGUUUAGAACACAUCAAAAUUUGUUAACAUGCAUCUACAAGUAUACAUUUGACAAAUGUGGAUCUUAGGAUUGGUCUUAGGAUGACUGACAUUCUAGGUAUAACUUGCCAUCUGUUUAAGCAGAACAAUGUGCAAGUAAUCUCCACAAAUAAAGAUAAGAGGAUGUAAACAUGUGGUCAAAUGAAAGGUCGUUUACAUAGCCAAUUGAUUUAGCUAAGUGGCUGUUUCAUAUAGAAUGGUCUCAAUUUUUGGUUACCCAAAUAUUAGAUUCAGUCACUACAAAAUAGAUCAUAUUUGAUCAGGAGGGUCAUAACCAAAAUAUGACUUGAUGCUUCAUGUCCUAUACCAUAGUAAAAAGAGCCAAAGCAAAUAAGAUGAGCAUCUCUUGGG